UACGAAGGGGGCUAGCGUUGCUCGGAAUGACUGGGCGUAAAGGGCGCGUAGGCGGUGUACACAGUCAGGCGUGAAAUUCCCGGGCUCAACCUGGGGGCUGCGCUUAUACAUGUACGCUUGAGUCGGAAGAGGGUCGUGGAAUUCCCAGUGUAGAGGUGAAAUUCGUAGAUAUUGGGAAGAACACCGGUGGCGAAGGCGGCGACCUGUCCGAUACUGACGCUGAGGCGCGAAGCGUGGGGAGCAAACAGGAUAGAUACCCUUGUA
rnacentral:rRNA from 1 species